UGGGGAAUAUUGCGCAAUGGCCUAAGGGCUGACGCAGCGACGCCGCGUGUGGGAGGACGCCCCUAGGGGUGUAAACCACUGUUGCCCGGGACGAAUCCUGGAUUAGCUCCAGGUUGACGGUACCGGGUGAGGAAGCACCGGCUAACUCCGUGCCAGCAGCCGCGGUAAUACGGAGGGUGCGAGCGUUGUCCGGAAUCACUGGGCGUAAAGGGCGCGUAGGCGGCAGGCCAAGCGUGCGGUGAAAGUCCGGGGCUCAACCCCGGAUCGGCCGUGCGGACUGGUUUGCUGGAGCACUGUAGAGGCGAGUGGAAUUCCGGGUGUAGCGGUGGAAUGCGUAGAGAUCCGGAAGAACACCGGUGGCGAAGGCGGCUCGCUGGGCAGUGGCUGACGCUGAGGCGCGACAGCGUGGGGAGCAAAC
rnacentral:rRNA from 1 species